AAGAUUCCACCUUUCCUACUCUUGAGCAUCUAGGAGGUGGGUGUAGAGAGGGGACCUUGUUAGGAGCCUUGUGAAGUGGUUAAAGUGAAAGUUGAGUCUUCAAGAGGUGCUGAGUAGACGAGAGCGCGGUCUAGAGAUACUUAGUGUAGAUCCCUUUCCCUUGUGAUGGUUUGGGCCUGCGUGCCUUUGAUUAAACCCUAGACUUUAUGUUGUUGACUUUGCUUUUGGAUUGAUUGAUUAUG